rnacentral:rRNA from 1 species
AGAGUUUGAUCAUGGCUCAGGAUGAACGCUGGCGGCGUGCUUAACACAUGCAAGUCGAACGAAGCACUUAUCAUGAAGUUUUCGGAUGGAUUGAUAAAUGACUGAGUGGCGGACGGGUGAGUAACGCGUGGGUAACCUGCCUUAUACAGGGGGGAUAACAGUUGGAAACGACUGCUAAUACCGCAUAAGCGCACAGUGCUGCAUGGUACAGUGCGAAAAGAUUUAUCGGUAUAAGAUGGACCCGCGUCUGAUUAGCUGGUUGGUGGGGUAACGGCCUACCAAGGCGACGAUCAGUAGCCGGCUUGAGAGAGUGAACGGCCACAUUGGGACUGAGACACGGCCCAAACUCCUACGGGAGGCAGCAGUGGGGAAUAUUGCACAAUGGGGGAAACCCUGAUGCAGCGACGCCGCGUGAGUGAAGAAGUAUUUCGGUAUGUAAAGCUCUAUCAGCAGGGACGAAAGAAGUUGAAAGACACUUCCUGACGGUACCUGACUAAGAAGCCCCGGCUAACUACGUGCCAGCAGCCGCGGUAAUACGUAGGGGGCAAGCGUUAUCCGGAUUUACUGGGUGUAAAGGGAGCGUAGACGGUGAUGUAAGUCAGAUGUGAAAGCCCAGGGCUCAACCCUGGGACUGCAUUUGAAACUAUGUCACUGGAGUGCAGGAGAGGUAAGUGGAAUUCCUAGUGUAGCGGUGAAAUGCGUAGAUAUUAGGAGGAACACCAGUGGCGAAGGCGGCUUACUGGACUGUAACUGACGUUGAGGCUCGAAAGCGUGGGGAGCAAACAGGAUUAGAUACCCCAGUAGUCC